rnacentral:lncRNA from 1 species
UAAAGGAAAUUCUGUGUGUAAACAUAUUGGCUAAAGUUGAAGGAGUAUCAUCCAGUUUUUCUGUAAAUUGAGCAUUAAAAGCACAAUGGGUUUCUCUUAGAGCACUAAUCUGCUCUUUAACAAAAAUUGUUAAGGGUUAUAAAAGGUCUAUAAAAGUCUUACCUUAUGGUCAAACAUUAAAAUUGGGUAAAUAUGUCUAUAAAGUUUAUUAAGAAUUGGGUUUAACAUUAAUAGUACCCUAAUGUAAAGGUAAAAUUUGGCUUAUUUGGUAUAAAAAUUAAACAGGAAGCAUUGUCAAAUAUUAAAUGGUGUUUGGCUUUCUUUAGAUAAAUAUGUCAUUGGUAUGUGUUCCAAAUCAUGUGGGGAUGACCUCAGCACACUCGCCACUUCAGCCGCUCCAACCUCCAGGGCACAGUGAAGAGCUGAGGGGACACCCUGGCUCUCCUACAAAAAAUUAGCCAUGCAUGGUGGCACGUGCCAAGUCCCAGCUACCGGGGAGGCUGAGGCAGGAGAAUCGCUUGAACCUGGGAGGCAGAGGUUGCAGUGAGCCGAGAUUGUGCCACUGCACUCCAGCCUGAGCAACAGAGUGAGACUCCAUCUCAAAAAAUAAAAAAAUAAAAUAAAAAUUAAAAGUCAACAUUUAAAAGACU